GAAACGCGUGAUUUUCGCUUAAAUGUGGAUUCUCGAAGAGAAAACGCGUGAUUUUCACUUAAAUGGGGAAUUUGCGAAGAGAAAACGCGUGAUUUUCAAGUUAAAUGGGGGAUUCGCGAAGAGAAAACGCGUGAUUUUCGCUUAAAUGGGGUAUUUGAGAAGAGAAAAUUCGUGAUCUUCACUUAAAUGGGGGAUUUGCAAAGAGAAAACGUGUGAUUUUCACUUAAAUUGACGAUUCUCAAAGAGAAAACGUGAGAUUUUCACUUAAAUGGGGGUUUUGCGAAGAGAAAACGUGAUUUUCGCUUAAAUGUGGGAUUUCUGAAGAGAAAACUCGUGGUUUUUUGUGUUAAUUGGGGGAUUUGCGAAGAGAAAACGCGUGAUUUUCGGGUUAAAUGGAAGAUUCCUGAAGAGAAAACGCGUGAUUUUCAAGUUAAAUGGGGGAUUUGCAAAGAGAAAACGUGUGAUUUUCGCUUAAAUGGUGUAUUUGAGACGAGAAAAUUCGUGAUUUUCGCAUAAAUGGGGGAUUCUCAAAGAGAAAACGCUUGAUUUUCACUUAAAUUGACGAUUCUCAAAGAGAAAACGCGAGAUUUCCACUUAAAUGGGGGUUUUGCGAUGGGAAAACGUGUGAUUUCUGGUUAAAUGGGGGAUUUCUGAAGAGAAAACUCGUGGUUUUUUGUGUUAAUUGGGGGAUUUGCGAAGAGAAAACGCUGAUUUCACUUAAAUUGACGAUUCUCAAAGAGAAAACGCGAGAUUUUCGCUUAAAUGGGGGUUUUGCGAAGGGAAAACGUGUGAUUUUCACUUAAAUGGGGGAUUUCUGAAGAGAAAAGUCGUUUUUUUGUGUUAAAUGGGGGAUUUGCGAAGAGAAAACGCGUGAUUUUCGGGUUAAAUGGGGGAUUUGAGAAAACACAUGAUUUUCACUUAAAUGUUGGAUUCUCGAAGUGAAAACGCGUGAUUUUCGCAUAAAUGGGGGAUUUCCGAAGAGAAAACGCGUGAUUUUCAAUUAAAUGGGGGAUUUGCGAAGAGAAAACGCGUGAUUUUCGCUUAAAUGGGGUAUUUGAGAAGAGAAAAUUCGUGAUCUUCACUUAAAUGGGGGAUUUGCAAAGAGAAAACGUGUGAUUUUCACUUAAAUUGACGAUUCUCAAAGAGAAAACGUGAGAUUUUCACUUAAAUGGGGGUUUUGCGAAGAGAAAACGUGAUUUUCGC
ensembl:lncRNA